rnacentral:lncRNA from 1 species
AUUUCUCAAAAGUGGGGUCAUCAUGUUCAUUUGACCAAGUGAAUUGUCUCCCAUUUAAAGCUAACUCUCUCAAGCCAGCCUGCUCAAUGAUAGCAUUAAAUAGGAAGCUCCAUCUGUUAUAACCAUCCUCCUUAUUUUUCUCAGUUUCUCUUCUUAUAAUGUUGAAAUCCCCUCCCACCAAAAUAGGAUAGCUACUAUCUUGACAUACCUGAGAAAGUUCAGUUAAAAACUCCUCUUUAUGUUCAAUCUGAGCUGCCCCAUAAACCACAAUCAAGUUCCAUCUAACAUCAUGAUUUCUAUCAAAAAGAAGCAAUCUGACAUAAUGAUUCCCAUUCUGUUGUUCUACUAUGUCAAAAGCAGAGUCCCUUACUCCAACUAGAAUCCCCCCCAGAUCUUCCUCUGGAUGGUGCCCAUUUCCAAGUGAAAAGGCCCCUUCCCCCCAAGUUAGCUAGAUCAACAUUAGAGAACUCAUUUCUCAUUGUCUCCUGCAAACCCAGGAAAUUUAAAUGAUGUUCAUUAAUCAGUUCUCUAAUGUAUCUCUGUUUAGCCUCCUUCCCCAUCCCCCUAAUAUUCCAGAACACCCCCUUCAUUUUUCUUUUUUCUAUAUUUAAGCAGUGCCUUCACACUAACAAUGUCAGGUGAAUGUCUUUUCGAUUUUUUAUUUUUCUUAUUCACAAACAUUUGAAAACCAUCUCCCUCAACAGCAGCAUCAAGCUGGUCCAGCAUCUAGAUCAGCUAACAACUCAUCUAGAAGCUUAUCGCCAGUUAAGCCAACAAUAUUGUUACUAGGAACACCUAAAUCAGGCGCCCUAUCAUGUUGGCAAUAGAAAUUUAUUCUAGCUUGCUCAAGAUCCUUGAGCAAGCCCACAUUGUGGUCCACCAUAUCUAUUGCUACUCCCAAAUUAAUUCCUAUAGUUGAAGCAAUUUGAUGCAGAGAAGCAUUAUCAGAGUCAACAAAGGAUAAAAUUUCUUGUGUAAAUUUCUCCUUGUAAGGAACCAUUUCCAAUUGAGCAAGGCAUCUCUAAAAUGGAGCGUGUAAUGGUCGGCUCUUGCGAGAGCUGCCCUCGCGGGCAGGCGGCCAUGGAGGCCCUGCAUGCCACCGCCCGUCCCUGCCUCUAGGAUUGCCUCCACGGCGAUGGUUCCUUGCGCAUCCCGGUCCGUCGUUGUUGUGGCGGACCCUGCCUUCUCCACUGUCGUCUCACCUGGCUCCCCGUCUCGACCGGCCUCCAAUGCCGGGUCGACCACUUCCGCCCCGAUGGUUGGGCCGUCUGCUGCUACGUCCGGGGUGGAGACCGACAAGCUGACCAACCUCGACGUGCCUGAUGUUACCACACCAGAUGCUUAGAGGGAGCUGGGGACCCUUAACCCUGUGGAGGAAGCUUUUGAUGCUCUCUGUCUGUCGGCUGGUUUGUCGUUUAUGUGCCCCUUUUGUGUUAAAUCUGUUGUUUUUGUCGACCACUGUUGU